rnacentral:rRNA from 1 species
UACAGAGGUCCCAAGCGUUGUUCGGAUUCACUGGGCGUAAAGGGUGCGUAGGUGGCUUGGUAAGUUUGAUGUGAAAUCUCCGGGCUUAACCCGGAAAUGGCAUUGAAUACUAUUGAGCUGGAGGUUUGGGGGGGGGGACUGGAAUUCUCGGUGUAGCAGUGAAAUGCGUAGAUAUCGAGAGGAACACCAGUGGCGAAGGCGAGUCCCUGGACAACACCUGACACUGAGGCACGAAAGCUAGGGGAGCAAACAGG